AUUGAACGCUGGCGGCAGGCCUAACACAUGCAAGUCGAACGAGUGGCGGACGGGUGAGUAAUGUCUGGGAAACUGCCUGAUGGAGGGGGAUAACUACUGGAAACGGUAGCUAAUACCGCAUACCAUCGGAUGUGCACAGAUGGGAUUAGCUAGUAGGUGGGGUAAAGGCUCACCUAGGAGACGAUCCCUAGCUGGUCUGAGAGGAUGACCAGCCGCAUGGGAACUGAGAUACGGUCCAGACUCCUACGGUAGCCAGCAGUGGGGAAUAUUGGACAAUGUGCGCAAGCCUGAUGCAGCCAUGCCGCGUGUAUGAAGAAGGCCUUCGGUUUGUAAAGUACUUUCCGCGGGGAGGCGUUACCCGCAGAAGAAGCACCGGCUAACUCCGUGCCAGCAGCCGCGGUAAUUC
rnacentral:rRNA from 1 species